rnacentral:rRNA from 1 species
UCGCCUGUUUUAACAAAAACAUGUUCUUUUGUUUUAAAUAAAAGAUUUAACCUGCUCUAUGAUUAUUAAAUGGCUGCAGUAUUUUGACUGUACAAAGGUAGCAUAAUAAUUUGUCUUUUAAUUGAAGACUGGUAUGAAUGGUUGGAUGAGAAAUAUACUUUCUUUAUUUUAUAUAAAAAAAUUGAUUUUUUAGUUAAAAAGCUAAAAUAUUUUUAUAGGACGAGAAGACCCUAUAGAACUUUACUUUGAUAUAAAUAUACUAUUUAUAUAUUUUUAAAAUUUUAUAUUUUUAUUAAAGUUUUGUUGGGGUGACAAAAAAAAUUAUAUAACUUUUUUUUAUUAAAUCAUUAAUUUAUGUUUUUUUGAUCCUUUAUUAUGGAAAAUAAGAUUAAGUUACCUUAGGGAUAACAGCGUUAUUUUUUUGGAGAGUUCAUAUUGAUAAAGAAGUUUGCGACCUCGAUGUUGGAUUAAAAUAAGUUACAGGGGUAUAAUAUUGUAUACUAGGUCUGUUCGACCUUUAAAUUUUUACAUGAUCGAGUUCCCAACCGGGAU